GACGAACCGUGCGAACGUUAUUCGGAAUCAUUGGGCUUAAAGGGCGCGUAGGCGGCGGCGUAAGUUGGAAGUGAAAUCCCAUCGGCUCAACCGUGGAAUAGCUUUCAGUACUGCGUCGCUCGAGUGAGAUAGGGGUCCGCGGAACUACCGGUGGAGCGGUGAAAUGUGUUGAUAUCGGUGGGAACGCCAGUGGCGAAAGCGGCGGACUGGACCUUUACUGACGCUGAGGCGCGAAAGCUAGGGGAGCAAA
rnacentral:rRNA from 1 species